rnacentral:rRNA from 4 species
GCCCUUACGACCAGGGCUACACACGUGCUACAAUGGCGCAUACAAAGAGAAGCGACCUCGCGAGAGCAAGCGGACCUCAUAAAGUGCGUCGUAGUCCGGAUUGGAGUCUGCAACUCGACUCCAUGAAGUCGGAAUCGCUAGUAAUCGUGGAUCAGAAUGCCACGGUGAAUACGUUCCCGGGCCUUGUACACACCGCCCGUCACACCAUGGGAGUGGGUUGCAAAAGAAGUAGGUAGCUUAACCUUCGGGAGGGCGCUUACCACUUUGUGAUUCAUGACUGGGGUGAAGUCGUAACAAGGUAACCGUAGGGGAACCUGCGGUUGGA